GAUGAACGCUGGCGGCGUGCCUAAUACAUGCAAGUCGAUCGGGUGCAGCAAUGCACCAGAGGCGAACGGGUGAGUAACACGUAGGUAACCUGCCCUCGAGACUGGGAUACCCAGACGAAAGUUUGGCUAAUACCGGAUAACAACAUCGGAGACAUCUCUGAUGUUUGAAAGGCGCUUUUAAAAGCGUCACUCUUGGAUGGACCUGCGGCACAUUAGCUAGUUGGUGAGAUAAUAGCCCACCAAGGCAAGGAUGUGUAGCCGAUCUGAGAGGAUGACCGGCCACAAUGGGACUGAGACACGGCCCAUACUCCUACGGGAGGCAGCAGUAGGGAGCUUUCGGCAAUGGGGGAAACCCUGACCGAGCAACGCCGCGUGAGUGAUGAAGGUCUUCGGAUUGUAAAGCUCUGUUACAGGGGACGAAUGGUUGGCCUAGGAAAUGAGGUCAGCUCGACGGUACCCUGCCAGAAAGUGACGGCUAACUACGUG
rnacentral:rRNA from 1 species